GCAAGAUCCUCUGCACACAUGGCCCAACGGCUAUAUCUCAACUUAAGCCUUUCUCUUUGGGCAAACAAGCAGAACUGAUUCUUGAGAUUGGAAGGGACAUUGGGCUUUAUUUUGACGGAUAAUCACUCAUUUUGCGAAGCAAAUUGCUCAUUACGCUGCUGUUCUCCAAAGUUGCAAUUAAGGGCUUGUCGAGAGACUUGAGGGAACUUUUCCCCUUCCUAAUCUGAAAGAGCUAUGGUAUUCUAUCUUUGUUUUCAUGGAAUUGCAGGGGUCUUGGGGUGCGAAGACGAAGUCCCACCUUAGGAGUCUCAUAACCAAGCACAAGUUGAUAGUGGCUAUUCAGGAAACUAAAGCUGAUACGGUGUCCUUCUCUGUGAUUCGAAGGGUUUGGGGAAUAGGUAAUUUGGUUUCGUCCGUUGCCAAGGAUGAAGGUCUUUCUGGUGGGUAGCUGUGUCUAUAGAAGGUGUGUUAUUAAUGGUUAUAUGGAACAAGGACCCAAUCCUAGUAAAGAGUAGCUGUGUCUAUAGAAGGUGGAUUCAUCUAAUAGGAAAUUCUAUGAAACGAUAUUGCUUCCGAAAAUGGUUCGUGCUUAAUCAAAUUCUAAAAUAUUUCGAGAGAAAGAGUGGGCAGUACUCCUCUGCUGGUAUGUCUAAUUCCUGCUCCUUUGUAAAUAAUUUGAAUCUUAAUGAGGUGCUAUUGAGUGGAAAGAUGUUUACAUGGCAUGAGCUCUAUUAAUGUUUACAUGGCAUGAGCUCUGUUGAUAUGGCUUUAGUCUCUUUUCAAUGAAAUGAAAAAUUUUGGAGACUGACUAACGAGGUUGAUUGGGCCCCCAAACCAAUCAGAUUCUUGAAUAUUUAGUAGACCUGGCCUGAAUUUAUGGAUAUUUUGAAGGUUAUUGGAGUGAGAUCUCAACUCAACUCAAUGAAAUAUCACUGUUUUAUUGAUUACAGAGGCUGAAGAUUAUAAAUUUAAAAUUUAAAAACAUAACAGAAAAUUCAAAAAAAAUAUGAUAGAAGUUGUUGGCAAUGUCUUUUUAAUUUUAUUGUAUAUAAUCUUUAUCUUCUCUACUCCUUAUCUACAGCAAAUGAGGCAUCUUCAACACUCCUUCUUGCGUCUCUUAUUGCGGUUUUGAAUUUGUCAUCAAGCAUCUCUAUGUUUUAUUGAUCAUAGAGGCCUUUAUAUAAUGAAAUUUCUUUCAAUAAUAUACUGAAGAUUAUAAAUUUAAAAACAUAACAGAAAAUUCAAAAAACAUGAUAGAAGUUGUUGGCAGCAUCUUUUCAAUUUUAAUAUAGAUAAUUUUUAUUUCUUUCAAGAUCUUAUCUGCAGCAGAUGAGGCAUUUUCAGUACUUCUUGCAUCUUUUGUUGUGGUUUUGAAUUCAUCACCAAGCAUCUUCAUUUUUCAGCUUCUCUUUGCCAGUCUCUUUAUCAUCUUUUUCUUUUUAUGAUUGUUAAAGUUUUGAGACAUGUUGGUCUCUUCAUCAUUUUUCUAUAGUUUAUGGACAUACUUAGGUCCCUUGGCUUGAUUUUGUUUUGUUGGAGGUGCUUGGCUUGUUUUUUUUCGUGUUUGGUUUUGUUAUUUUUGGAGAAAACCUUCUUGUUCCAUGUUAUGUUUCUUUCCAUGCUGUAAUCCUACCUUUGGCUUGCAGGCUUUUAUUUUUCUCUUUUAUUUAGGGCUGAUACCAUUGUUGGUUUUUUUUAAGAAAUGAUGUAGGAGCAUAUAUGAGACUAAAAAUGGUCUAUGUUUUAUUGAUUCUAGAGUCAUUUAUAUAAUGACAUUUCUUUCAAUAAUCUGCUGAAGAUUAUAAACUUGAAAUUUAAAAACAUAACAAAAAAUUUAAAAAACAUUACAGAAGUUGUUGGCAAUAUCUUUUCAAUUUUAUUGUAAGUAAUCUUAUCUUCUUUCAACUUCUUAUUUGUAGUUAAUAUCCUUAUUAGUGUUGCUAAGAAAAUUGAGAAAUUAAUAAGAAAAUCCUUAUCAAAUUGGAUAGUGUAUAUUAAAAUUGGUAGGAGUUAGAACUUGCUGUGGAAUAUAAAUGACUUGGAAAUUGAUUUCUAUAGCUUUGAAAAUGUUCAUGGUAAUUGAUGUUGGAUUGUAAUUUUGAUAAUUAUGCUGAUAGUUAUUUAUUUAUUUAAUAAAUGAAUAAGCAACAAAAACUUGAAAAAUAUUGUACAAAUGAGUUUUCAGUUUGUUAUGGUUAUAUUGUCGAUAUGAAUAUUUUUUGCUGUGGUUAUUAUUUUAAGUGCCCAUUUGUACCUAACUAAAUAUAUUCUUGGAGAUUGUAAGUUUGCAAGAACGUCUUCUUUAUCCAAUUGAAGUGUUCGCUUUUAAAUGUGGUUAGUUUGAUUUAUCUGUCCCAUUAUUGAGCUUCUUUUGAUUUUAUAAGCAUAUAUGAUAACCACAGCAACCCAGGUAUUAGCUAGUUCGAGUAUAAAAAUCAGUUGCAUAAUGUGUCUUUAACCCAUAUCGUUCGUGAAGCCAACUUGAUAGCUGAUGGUUUAGCCAAACAAGGAUUAAUCGUGAUUAAAGCUUUGUUGCUAUUCUCUGAUUUCAUUAUGCCAUUGGGCCGCUCUUUUUAGUUUAGUCAAGUGUAGAAGGCCUGGUCAAGUGUAAUCCGUAUUACUUCAGUGUGAUGAUCUGUCCAUGGAACAUGGUUUUUCUUUAACCUAUCAUGCAAGGGUUUUGCUAGAUGGUUAAUAUUUGGACAAAAAUCUAAGAUAUAAUUUAAGUUACCUAAGAAUUUCUGUAGCUCGGUUUUAUCCAAGAUUUUAUCAGGAAAUUUGUUUGAAAAUUCUCGACUUUUUUCUAUUGGAGUAAUGGUUCCUUGGGAUAUGUAAUAGCCUAGAAACGUAACCCUGUUUUGGAAGAGAGAAAUCUUUGAUUUUGAAACGGCAAGGCCAUUUCAUUUUGUAACAGAGAAGAAUGUUCUUAAGUGUUUGAAGUGUUGUUCAAUUGACUCUGAGAACACAAGAACAUCAUCUAUAUAGACUAUGCAAAUUUUGAAUAUAGAUUAAAAAUUUCAUUCAUAAUUCUCUGGAACUCUGAUGGGGUAUUUUUCAAGCCAAAAGGCAUGACUUUUCACUCAUACUAUCUAAAGGAAACUGUGAAUGCGAUUUUGUAUUUAUCUUUUGGAUCAAUUUGUAUUUGCUAAAAUCCUGAUUUCAUAUCAAAUUUGAAAAAUACAAAUGCAGAAUGAAGUUUUUGUAAAAGAUCUUUUUUGUUUGGAAUUGGAUACCUGAUCCAUUUCAAAGCUUUAUUCAGAGGUUUGUAAUUAAUUACUAAUCUAGGAGUGCCUCUUUUUAUUUCUGAAUUUUUAUUUAUAUAAAAAGAGAUGAUAGAGAUGAGGAAAUUUUGUAUGCAGGUAGAAGUAAUGGAUUAUUUGUUGUAGCUCUCCAUUUGCUAAUACUUCUUGAUGUGUUGAAAUGAUUUAUAUGUUGAUUGGUUUUAGGCGAAAUAAUAGUCUUCUGACUUCUUAGAGGACUCGAUUUCUCAAAAACCUUGUCAUUUCACAAUCAGAUUUUGUAACUCGGACUCCAGUUAACAUUCCUCAUUUGAAUAAUUCUCGUGCGUCUAGAUAUCGAGUUUCAGAUAUCUGCGCUGUUUUGAAGCGAGAGAUGUUGAAAUCUAAGCUGUGCUCACAAUCUGGAUAGACGAGAGUAAUUCAGUUAGGAUGUUCUUGAGUGCAGUGAAAGUGAGGUUUUGAAUAGAACUCCCAUUCCCAUGACCAUCCAUUGUGAUUCUGCUGAUUGUUUUUUGUAAAAUUGAGACAUUUUUGAAAACAUCCAGUUGUUCCUUGGUUCUGGACUGGAUGAUGUUUUGUAGGAUUUUCUCGUGGAUCUCCUGAGGAAGACCGUUAAGAACUUGUUGCCUGAAUUUCUUCGAAAGACAACGAGUUUGAAAAUGAUCAUAACGAACUGGCUCUGCUGUCUAUUGAGUAUAUAUAUAUAUAUAUAUAGAAAUUUAAUUUUUAGUUGUAUAUAUAUAUUCAUAAUGGACGUCAAGUGUAGAAGGCUUGGUUUCAGUUAGUGUUUCUGCUAUUUUGUCAGGGUACCACAUGUUUCUUGUUGUGCUGCAUUGCAUGUGUUGUUAUGUCUUCUGUUUUGCAGUGUAAUUCAGGACUUUUGGUUUUUGUUUUCAUUCGUGUUUUGUUCUCUUGUUCCAGAUUUUUUCAUUUAGCAUUUCAGUUUUUAAGUUUAGUGUAUUGGGUGGUCUAUCAGGGCUUAAAUUGCUAAGUUUUUUCUAGUUUAUUUUCAUUAUUAAUGUAAUUUUUGCUUAAAAAAAAAGGAAAUUCCCAUUAUUACUUACUUAGACUCACCUUGUUGGAUGCAUUUUUUUUUUCAUUAAAUCAACUGCAAUUGACCUAAUUUAUUUUAAUAUAUACAUAUCCUUACUAGCCAUAGUCUAUUUUCAGUUUCUCUAAAAACCCUCAACAACCUAUAAUUAUUGUUGCAUUCUUGUAACAAAAUACUUCUUACAUUUUUUGAAAGUAUAUCCUUCUAAAACUAUUACCCAAAGAAUUAAAAAAAAAAAAAAAGUCUAAGUACACUUUAGUACCCUGUAUUUUGGCCUUUUUAGCAUUGAGAACAUAUAUUUUGUUUUAUGUCAAUUAAAGACAGGAACUUUGACUUCAUUUUUACGAGAGGACAAAUUGCUAAUGGUGUUAAAUAACACUGAUAUGGCGUUAUGCAUGCCACUUCAAUGCCACAUCACUCUACGUCAUGCAUGGGUGCCAAGUCAGCAUGCCAUGUCAUGAAAUUUUAUGCCAUCGCUCAUUUUGUCAUCUAAGUGUAAAAAGGUGAAAGUACAUGUUCUAAAUUGUAAAAAUAUGAAAGUACGUGUCCUAAAUUAAAAAAAAUAAAAAUAUAAAGUUAAAGUCAUAAAUGCUAAAAGCGUAAAAAUUUUGAGAGUACAUGAAAAAAUAAGGAAAGAGAGAGGUGGAGUGAGAGAGAGAGAGAGAAUGAAAGGUAUGGGGAAAGAUAGAGAUAAAUUGACUCUUUCAUGUCUCUCUCUUCAUCUUUCCCUCUCUCUCUUUCUCUCACUGUAUCUCCCUUUCUCUAUCUCUUUCUUUCUCUCUCUCUUUAUCUUUCUAUCCCCCAUUCUUCUCUCUCUUUCCUUAUUUUUCCAUGUACAUUUAAAAGCGUGAAAGUUUUAAAUAGUGAAAGAAAGAGAAAGAGACAAAUAGGAAGAGAGAAAGGGAGAGAUAUGGAAAGAAAGGUAGACAUAGUGAGUGUCAAUCUGUCUUUAUCUCUCUCCAUAUCUUUCAUUCUCUCUCUCACCCUCUCUCUUAUUAUCUUUCAUUAUCUCUCUUUCUUUUUUCUUAUUUUGUACUUUCAAAAUUUUUGUACGUUUUUCUUAUUUUGUACUUUCAAAAUUUUUACACUUUUAGCAUUUAAAGCUUAAACUUUUUUUUUGGGUAAUUUAGGAUAUGUACUUUCAUAUUUUUGUAACAUAAGACAUGUACUUUCACUUUCUCUCUCUCUCUCUCUCUCUCUCUCUCUCUCUCUCCCAUUCCUCUCUCUCUUUCCUUAUUUUUUCAUGUACAUUUAAAAGCGCGAAAGUUUUAAAUAGUGAAAGAGAGAGAAAGAGACAAAUAGGAAGAGAGAAAGGGAGAAAUAUGGAGAGAGAGGGAGACAUAGUGAGUGUCAUUUUGUCUUUAUCUCUCUCCAUAUCUCUCUCUCUCUCUCUCUCUCUCUCUCUCUCUCUCUUAUUAUCUUUCAUUAUCUCUUUAUCUUUUUCCUUAUUUUGUACUUUCAAAAUUUUUAUACUUGUAGCAUUUAGAGCUUAAACUUUUUUUUUUUUUUGGUAAUUUAGGAUAUGUAUUUUCACAUUUUUGUAAUUUAAGACAUGUACUUUCACCUUUUUACAUUUACGUGAUAAAAUAAAUUAUAGUAUAAAAUUCGAUGAUGUGACAUGCAGAUGUGUCACUCUUGUAUGAUGUGGCAUUGAUGUGACAUGCCACGUCAUCACCAUAUCAUGCAUGGUGCUACAUCAUACAUAGGUGCCGCAUCAGCGUCAUUUAACGCCGUUAGCAAUUUGUUCUUAUUGUGAAAAUGGGGUCAAAGUUUCUGUCCUUAAUUGAUACAAAACAAAGUACAUGCCUCCUGACGCAGCGUGCAAUGCAAAAAAGGAUCGACACACGUUCAAACACUUGAAAAUAAAUAAGAUCUAAUCCAAGAUCUUAAGAAACACAUGAUUCAAUCCAUAAUCUAAAGAUAAAACAAAACAAAUAUAGCUUUAUGAAGAAAAAUACUUUAUUAAAUAAAUCUUGAAACUUGUACAUGAUUGAAAUAUAAUGGGUAUUUAUAGAGUUUUAAAUCCUAAUAUAGAUAGAAAUGAAUUAAAGAGACUUAAUUUAAAUAGAAAACAUAUUUAAAAUACCUAAAUUAAAUAAAAGUUGUAUUUUAUAAUUCUAAAUAUAUUAAGAAAUAUAAAUAAAAUUUAUCUAGUAAAAUAAAGAAUCUUAUUAGAAUUACGAAUGCUCGUAGAAAUAAGAAAACACAAGUAUUUGGGUCUGGCAUAGAUUUGUGCACCGUGUCACCUUCGAUGCCAAAAAGGCCAAAGUAUAGGGUAAUAAAUUGUGGUUUCCCCCUAAAAAAUUAAGAAACUUCAUUCUAGAGCAGAAAGAAGAGACUCCGAAGUGUGAUGAUCACUGUAGCAGAAUGGAUGAUCUAAUUCCAUUGCAUAUUCCUCUUUUAUUUUCCCACUGUCAUCAAGUCCUGGGCUGACAUCUCCAUAGAUUUUUUCUGGUUUGUGGAUCCUUUCCUCCAUCAAGAAGUAGUCAUCUGAGGCCAAGAACUCGUAUUCUUUAUUGAUUUGAUCACUAUAGUUAGAAUUAGACCUUUUGCAUUUCCUAAAGCCCAAGUCUUUGAAAUUCUCAUCAGGUGAAAGGGAUCGAUGGGGGAAGCUACCAUACCCUUGAAUCCCUCGUGUUAACUUACGAACUCUUGCCCUUUCUUCUAUCUGAAAUUGCUCAUUUUCCAGCAACUUCAGUAUUCUUGCUGAUAAGUUUGUAACACACAAGCCCCAGUUGAAUCUGCAUUUGAAACCAGAUGAUUAAUUAAUUAAAGAUACAUACUCUUAACAAUAAAAAUUUGAAUGGCACAACCAAGGAAGAUAUGCUCAUAUGUCCUAAACCAACCCUUUCUCGUCAACAAAUUGAAAGCUUUCCAAAUUCUUAAUGACUUCUUUAUCUCUCUGAAAUUCUUCAGCAACUCUUAAAGGACCAUGGGUUAGAAGGUGUUCUAAUAGAAGUAGAGUCUUGUAGGUAACCCGCCAAGUUUUUCUUUCGAACUUCGUCAACCUAAAAAGCAACAGAAACAGAAGAUUAAAUCUUUAAUUCAGGUCACAGCUAUAUAUGUUGGUUCAAAUAGCUAAACCAGAUCCAAAUAAAAGAAACCUGUUAUGUAGAAUGUCAACAAUUCUCCAAUAAUCAUCAACUUCAAAGGCAGCUCUUGAAAUUACACCCAUAGUACGUGUAUCCGGUGCCCGAAAUUCUCCAUUUGUAGCUUCUUCUGUCAGUCUUUAAAAAUCAAUAGAAGAUAAGAACUUGUUCGGUUUUGAAUUAUUGAUGUAAAAAUCCAAACUUACAGUUCUGCGGGUGUAACAUCUGUUAGUGCCAAGCGAGCAGUCUUGAUCUUCUCCUUCAAGAAGAAAGAAGCUUGCCUCUUGAAUUCAUGUAAAAAAGGGUUUCCCAUCUUGUUGGUUCUGUGUGAAAGCAUCAAAUAUGUUGUUUACUCUGAGAAGUGAUGAAAUGAUUUACUCGGUUUCUCUCUAGUUUGUAGUUCUUAUCAAAUGUACUGUGUAUGUAUUUAUGAGAGGGAAUUAUUUGCUUAUGUCAUGGGAAUUUUAAGUGGAUUAUUUUUGUGACA